rnacentral:rRNA from 1 species
UAGGGAAUAUUGCAAAAUGGGCGAAAGCCCGAUGCAGCAACGCCGCGUGGGCGAUGAAGGCCUUCGGGUCGUAAAGCCCUUUUUGAGGGGAUGAGGAAGGACAGUACCCUCAGAAUAAGCCUCGGCUAACUACGUGCCAGCAGCCGCGGUAAAACGUAGGAGGCGAGCGUUAUCCGGAUUUACUGGGCGUAAAGCGCGUGCAGGCGGAUUGGAGAGUUGGAUGUGAAAGCUCCCGGCUUAACUGGGAGAGGUCGUUCAAUACUUCCAGACUUGAGUGCAGUAGAGGGAAGUGGAAUUCCGGGUGUAGUGGUGAAAUGCGUAGAUAUCCGGAGGAACACCAGUGGCGAAAGCGGCUUCCUGGACUGUAACUGACGCUCAGACGCGAAAGCUAGGGUAGCAAACG